rnacentral:sRNA from 1 species
UAACGAUAUUGAAGCGUCUUGUGGGAACCCUCCUAUCAGCCACAGGGAAGCUGGUCAGAGCCAGACCUCGUGCCUGGGGAAUGGGGAUCAUGGGUGCUGGCAUUGUGGGUAGGGUGCCUUUGCCUCCCUCUCACAGGCCUGCGUGUGUUACUGACCAAUGUGGAGCUGGGUCUAGGGUGCGAAGAACUGCAAUGGCUGCUGCAGCGGGAGCAGCUGAGUCCACCCCAGGUGCAGCCUGGCUUCUGUCUGUAUCUCAGCACCACCCUCUCCCUCUGUGCCAUGGAAAAAGCGCUAGGUUGUGAACUGCUAAAGGGGCUGAAUGUGUUGGAUCUGGGCCUGAACAUGGAAAUACUGGAAGAACAGAUGCUGCAUGAAAUCUUGUGCAGAGAGUAUCCUGACCUCGAGACCCGCUGGCAGGACCUAAAGAUCAGAGCCCUAGAUACCUGCAAGGCUGUGGAGGCUGCUGAGGAGCGGCUGCUGACGAUGCUGCUGUUCCAGAAUCCGAAGCGUCAGAAGCCAGCCAAGUUUCUGCGGAACAUAGUGAGGGCCCAGGGAAAGCUAUGCCAGCUGCGUGCUCAUUGUGAAGAGUUAGAAGGGCAGAAACUACAGGAGAUGGUAUCGUGGGCACCCUAUCGACCUGUGGUUUGGCAUGGAAUGGCCAUGGUAAAGGCCCUAAGCCAACUGCAGAACCUGCUGCCACUUUUCUGUAUGAGCCCAGAGAACUGGCUGGCAGUCACCAAGCAGGCUCUGGACAGCAUGAAGCCACGUGAGAUUAAUCACGGGGAGGACCUGGCCAGCCAUCUACUGCAAUUGAGAGCACACCUGACCCGCCAGCUACUGGGCAGCACCGUGACUGCACUGGGCCUUACCCAAGUACCCUUGGUGGGUGCAUUGGGCGCUUUGGCUCUGCUGCAAGCAACAGGAAAAGCAUCAGAGCUGGAAAGACUGGCACUCUGGCCUGGACUAGCAGCCUCUCCCAGCACAGUCCACAGCAAGCCAGUCUCAGAUGUGGCUCGACCGGCCUGGCUUGGGCCAAAAGCCUGGCAUGAAUGUGAGAUGUUAGAGCUGCUGCCCCCAUUUGUUGGCCUGUGUGCCUCCCUGGCAGGCCACUCCAGUGCUUGGCAGGCUUACCUGUCACUGUCAUCCACAGUGCUGGGUCCUGCACCUGGGCCAGGGCCUGAGCCACUCAGCCUCCUCCAGAAGCUGAUCCUGUGGCGCGUUCUGCGACCUGAGUGCCUGGCAGGUGCCCUGGCAGACUUCACCACUAGCCUCCUGGGUCGGCCCCUGGAUGAAAACAUGUAUGCUCCCACCAUGCCCUUUAAACAUAGUCAGGCUACUCAGCCCAUGCUGAUCUUGUUGCCACCGCCUGGCCACCCCUCAGCCACUCUGCAUCCUCUGACUGUCAUCCAGAAACUGGCUGCCAAGUAUCAGCAGGGGCAGAAGCAACUGCAGGUGAUAGCCCUGGGCUCUGAAGCCUGGGACCCAGUCUCAGUUGUGGUCAGCACUCUAUCCCAGGCUAUGUAUGAGGGGCACUGGCUGGUGCUGGACAACUGUCAUCUGAUGCCCCAUUGGCCGAAAGAGCUGCUACAGCUCUUGCUGGAACUGUUAGGCAGAGCCAAGGUGGUUGCAGACCUGGAAUCAGAACAGCUUUUAGACCAACCUGAAAGCAGGAAUGUAAGCACUGUUCACAGAGAUUUUCGUCUUUGGCUUAUUGUGCCUGCAGAGUCUAGUGCUUCUUUGCCAGCUGUGCUGACUCAGCACUCCAUGCCUGUUUUCUGGAACCAGUCCCUGGAGCUGGGCCAUGUUUUGAUUGACAGUGUGGAGCUAGCCCAGCAAGUACUCUACAUGCAACCCCCCACCCAGGCACUACCUCUGCUCCUCCUCCAUGGCCUCCUGCUACACCGGCAGCUCUAUGGAACAAGGCUGCAGGCGCACAGGGGGCGCUGGAGUCAAGUGACUCUAACCCAGGUUCUUCAGACCCAAGAUCAGCUGUGGGCAAGUCUUAGCAAUCCCCGUGCUGCCAUGCAAGAGCUGGCUGCUUCAGUUUUCUACGGGGGUCCUCUGGGGGACACUGAGGACAGGGAGGCCCUGAUUAGCCUCACACAAGCCUGCCUGAGCCCCAGUAGCGGGAGCUGGGUCCAGCCACACACACCUCAGUCUUUGCUGGCCACGCUCAUGCCCCUCCCAGAGCUAAGGGAGCUGGAUGCAAUGGCAGAGUGCAAGGCCCAGAUGCACCUACUGCCCUCACCACCUGAACCCCGGCUCUGCGGACUGAGUGAGGGCCCCCAAGCCUGGCUGUUGCGACGCCAGAGUCGCGCUCUCUUGAGUGCGCUGCAGCGGAGUUCACCCGUGUGGGUUCCUGAGUCUCGAAGAGGCGCCCAGCUUGCGGAAAGGCGACUGCGGCAACGCCUAGUGCAAGUCAACCGGAGGCUGGAGUCACUGCACGAUCUGCUGACCCACGUGAUUCGCCAAGACGAGUCUGGCGCCCCGUGGUCAGUGCUGGGGCCAAAUGCACGGCGGCCUCUGGAGGGCGUCUUAGAGACCGAGGCUCUAGAACUGAGCCAGUUGGUGGGCACGCUACAAGGCGACCUUGAUUGCCUGUUGCAGCAGCUGAAGGGCGCACCCCCGUGCCCCUCCCGCCGCUGUGCUGCGGUGGCCCACGCUCUCUGGACUGGCCGCCUACCCUUGCCUUGGCGACCUCAUGCGCCGGCCGGUCCGCAGCCGCCCUGGCACUGGCUGCGACAGUUGUCGCGCCGUGGGCAACUGUUGGUUCGUUACUUGGGCGUGGGCGCGGACGCGAGCAGUGAUGUACCAGAGCGCGUCUUCCACCUGUCAGCCUUUCGCCACCCGCGCCGCCUGCUGCUGGCAUUGCGUGGGGAAGCUGCCCUGGACCAGAAUGUGCCCAGCUCGAAUUUCCCUGGUAGCCGAGGCUCGGUCUCCAGUCAGCUCCAGUAUAAACGUCUGGAGAUGAACAGCAACCCUCUGCACUUCAGGGUGGAGAAUGGUCCAAACCCCACGGUUCCAGAGAGAGGGCUGCUGCUGAUCGGGCUACAGGUCCUACAUGCGGAGUGGGACCCAAUAGCUGGAGCCUUGCAGGACAGUCCUUCCAGCCAACCCAGCCCUCUGCCUCCCGUCAGCAUCAGCACACAGGCCCCGGGCACCAGUGACCUGCCAGCCCCAGCCGACCUGACUGUGUACUCGUGUCCUGUGUACAUGGGAGGGCCCCUUGGCACCGCUAAGCUGCAGAGCAGGAACAUCGUGAUGCAUCUGCCCUUACCCACCAAGCUCACCCCCAACACCUGUGUCCAAAGGAGGGUCCAUGUGUGCAGCCCACCCCUGUCUUGAGCCCGUCUACCAAAAUAAAGUUGUAGUGAUUCC